rnacentral:misc_RNA from 1 species
GGGAAUGUGACAAGCUUCAAGCAAUCAUAGAUGGAGAUCAAAUGGUAACCAAUGCUUCUGGAGGACUAGAAGUUGGUUUUAAAUCACUUGAAUAUCUGUAUAUAUAUUGUGCGAGGAGCUUAAGGAGUAUAUGGGAGGGGCAACUGGAUAACAGUGGCUUUAAAGUACUAAAAUACUUGGUGCUAUACAUGUGUCCACAGCUGACCACCAUUUUCACACCAGGAUCGCUUGCAAAUCUUUCCAGCCUUGAAGAGCUCACAGUUGAUGAUUGCUCCCGAGUCACUAGUUUAGUGAGCGGCAGUGAUUGUGAGAACGAGAUCAAGCUUGUUCUCCCUGCCUUGAAGAAGAUAUCUCUUCGUUUCUUAGCUGAAUUGGAUAACAUCUCUGAUGUGGUAUGCAUUUCGCCAAGAUUGGAAUGGAUGAACUUUUACCAUUGCCCAAAUCUCAAAAGUCUCCCAAUUGGCAAAGUUUUCCAGUCCAAAUGGAGGCAGAUCAAGGGUGAGGAGAGCUGGUGGCAAGCAUCGGAGUGGCAAUACACAGAGCAAGAUUCUUGGAAAGGCAUUUUUACUUCAUAUGGAGAGAUUGUAGAAUUUAGCCCAUCAUCUAAGAGAUCAGAUGCAUUAUCAGAAGCAACGGCCUCAUCUCUCUUUGAAGGU